ensembl:lncRNA
CCACCCCCCUCCCCCCCCAACCGCGCAACAAUUACCCCUUUUAGGAUCGGCUAAUCCUGAAAUAUGGGCCUGUGACUAAUGGCGGAAUUUAGCAAGAAAUCAGCUCCAGUUUCACCGGCUUUAUUGACUCUAAUGCAGGAUGCAGAUACCUUCAGCUAUGAUGGAUGAGCGUGGGGAUACUGUCAGCCCCCCCCCUCCUCCUCCUCCUGCUCCUCCUCCUCCUCUUUCACUGUUGCCUUUGUGCAGGUGAUAAUGAAAAGUGUCAGAGAAGCAUGUAGCGGGCCCUUUUCACUGGCUCUCGCCAAAAGAAUGAGCCGCCAUGACAACAUUGACGUUGGAGUUUGUUGUUUCACAGGGCGAGGCGCUUCGCAGACGUCCCUCCUCCCUUAUUGUAUCGCGGCCGUCAAUAAACUGCAAUAUUGUGUCUCACUCUUGAGCGUGUGCCAGCCUGCUCCCACAUUCUGCUACAGGGGGGGGGGGGGCGGCGAUUGAGCAUAAAGCCACAAAAGCGGGGUCUUAGUGUACUUUGCUGCACAAACGAGUUAUCAAUCACGCUCUGCAUGCGAGGUGAUGGAUACGCGAGGCGCUUUUAUUUGACAGUGACAGAUAUGGUGCCGAUGAAUGAGUGCAGAUUGCCCGAUAAAUCAACCCCUCAAAUGUUUCAGACUCUGCUAAUCAUGGGCUUUUACUUUGAAGGGAACAAAGUCAAUAUUUGCGUUGUUGCACCUGCAGGGUUAAGAAAAUAAAGAGGGUUCGGGUGAAUACAAAGUUAUCCGACUAAAUCCUCGGGGAGUUUAGUUUGUGAGUGUCAUCAAAUUCCUGGAGACUGAGAUCAGAUCAGAAUGUCGUCGACUUCACUCGACCACUGAAGCGGAAUAAUCUCAAGUGGCAACAAAUGUGGAAUGAAAAUGAAAUUUGCGGCUCAAUCAUCCAUCAAAGUGAUGAUGCACUAGUAUCAGUUUGUGUGAAAAUAUGUGUGGAAACUAGAACUGGAGAAUAAUAUGAAUUUCAUUGUACAGAGUAACCUGUUAAACUGCACAUGCCCAUAAGUCAGGAAUCAUCAGGGACCAGGAAACAUUUAUUGCCAUAAUAUGUGAGACAUACAAGGGAUUUGACGUGGCGGUUGGUGCGUGACAGCAGACAGAACAACAACGGACGACAAGACAACAGUGCACGAGGAAUAAAAUAAAAUAUAAUGCUAUGGGUUAGUUUAAAAAUUAAAGUUUAAAAUGUUUAAAAAUAAAGUGCAAACAGCGGAGCAGAGGGAAGGGGCACAAACAGGUUUUGUCCGGGGUGAGAGGGGUCUACUGUAUAUAGGGGUCUGUGUAGAAGUCUAUGUAGGAGAAAUAUCUUCAAUCUUGAAUUUAAUACGUAAUAAGUACAUUUUUGUUCUCAUUCCGAGGUGAUGAGAUCAACUUCACAGCAGCUGCUGUGAUAAUAUAAUUAUUAUGUACAUUACAGGUCAUUUAGCAGACGCUUUUUAUCCAAAGCAACUUACAUUACACUUUAAACUCAUGGCUUUUUCACAUUUUUGCCCGGGGAGCAAUUAGGGGGUUAGGUGUCUUGCUCAGGGACACUUGGACAUGGAACAUGGGGCAGCCUGGAAUCGAACCACCAACCUUGUGCUUCCCAGCACACCUUCUCUAACCCCUGCGCCACGACGACGGGAGAUGUUAUUUAGCAAUUUAUUCUUAAAUAUAGUUUGCUUAAUUGUUUGGGUAAUUGGAUCACUAAUGCUGUGGGCACCUGGAGGUUACGUAGCCAGGUGGGACCAGCAUGCACCUGGGUGACAAAUAGUUUUCACCAGUGAGUCAGAGCGACAGAGCGACAUGCACUGCAUGGGAAAGCAGACAAGUUGCGUAUGUGUUGUGGAUUCUGUGGAAUAAAGGCGAAACAAAGGAAAAGAUCGCCCGGACAAUCCGCUUUCUUACUGCGUGAAAGAAAACAAAAACUAGGUGCAGCAGUGGCUCUUUGAGAUGUAAAGAUUAGUUGGUAACAAGGACAAAUGGCCACUACAAGUACGCUAGUAUCAUAAUGUGUGACCCUGUAACUGAUCUAGAAGCAUGAAGAUAUGAAAAUAAUAAAAUGUAGGGUCUGGAAAACAGCUGUUGUUUUGUCCACUAAUAUUUUUGCAUGUCUAAUAUUUUGAGGAUAAACACAUUUUGCUUGUGUGAAAAACACUGUUGGUUAUUUAUAAGUAAGGUUGAUUUACUGGAGGUGUGUCGGAGAAGUUUUAUUCUUUGUCCUGUCAUUGUUCAAACAGCUUCAUCAAAUGUUCUUAUUUCACUGUAAGAAAACACAGUGGAAACAAAGAGGAACACAAAACAAACAACAAAAACAAAAAAGAAGAAUUGUAUAUUUUUUGAUCCUACGAAUCAACACUUAAGGUAAGGUAAAAAUAAUAGAUAAAAAGGUAAUAUAUGAAAUAUAAAAUACCCAAACCUGUUGGAAAACAUAUUUUUUAAUUAAGUAAAAAAUAUAAAACGACAUAUCAAAUAUUACAUAUGAAUGAGCUCAUAACCGGAUCUUGUUUUAUAAAGAUAUUUCCCUUUCGACCGAGUUACAUGCAACUGUAUUACGUAAGUAAGCCGACUUCUGCCAUGAAAGAUGAAAUAAAACUUUUGUCCUGCAGUAAACACCUGCAGGGAACAUGAGCAGAGAGCCGACACGCAUAUUCCUGAAAAGAUGGAAUACAUAUUUACAUCACACACAAGCGGCGUUUGACCGCCUCUGCCACCUGUUUGAUGUCAAACAGGAGAUUCUGAUAAAAAGCCCGGUACCCGUUAUGAAAACGCUGUUGCAUAAAUACAAGUGAAACCCGGCUCUCAGGAGUUUAUCUUAUGAGUAAACAGGUGUAUAUAUUACUCAAACAACAACAGGAGAAUAAUGUUGAGGCAAUAAAUAGUUGACUGCGGAGAGGAUUUACGCCACGAUGAAAUAAAGUUUAUGUGGAGGUUUGAUGCAGGAGUCACGACACCAGAGUUCCUGUGAAAUAAUGCUGAAUUCAAGCAGCACAAUGAGUCUUCUUCUCCACGGAGGGACGGGAGGGAGAGGGUGAGGGAGAGGGGGAGGUGGAGGGGAGAUUGUAUCUUGGCAGUUGCAAAAGCAAACUGUCUGAUGUGACACAUAACAACAUCCAAAGACAACAGCAAUAAGUCACGCUCAUGAGCCCAAAAGGCAAAUAUGAUCAGGUGUUGUUUUAACAGCGAUGCAAAUCAGCCCAAAGUGAUACUUCUGGAACACGUCUCCUGCGUGUCUUCACACGUCCAUUUAAUCCAAACUGCAGAAUAAACUGAAGUUUUAAAUUUGGAUUUAAAACCCCCCUUCCCUCCCCCACGUCCACCCCGUCACCUCAUCCGUCCGUCAGCAGCCUCUUCUGCUCGGUAACAGUUAGGAAUGGUCAUUGGUGUUUAAUGACACUGAAUCCCUCUUUAUUGCUGAUGUUAAGCACUAAUAUGAAGUCAGGCGCUUAGUAAUGACCCCCCAGGGGGGGGUGCGUGGGGGGGGGGGCACUUUGGUGAAGGGGAAUAGUAUUAAAGUGCUGCAGCAGCUGCAGCGCUCUCCGUCCCAGCGGGUUUUAGAAUCACAAUCAGUGCAGAAAAUGAAACAUUACAGUCGAUCGGAGCG